rnacentral:rRNA from 1 species
AGAUUGAACGCUGGCGGCGUGCCUAACACAUGCAAGUCGAGCGGUAACAGGUGUAGCAAUACAUGCUGACGAGCGGCGAACGGGUGAGUAAUGCUUUGGAAUCUUCCCAGUAGUGGGGAAUAACCAGUCGAAAGAUUGGCUAAUACCGCAUACGUCUGUAAAGGGAAAGCGGGGGCUCGUAAGACCUCGCGCUAUUGGAUGAGCCAAAGUCGGAUUAGCUAGUUGGUGGGGUAAUGGCCUACCAAGGCGACAAUCCGUAGCUGGUCUGAGAGGACGACCAGCCACACCGGAACUGAGACACGGUCCGGACUCCUACGGGAGGCAGCAGUGGGGAAUAUUGGACAAUGGGGGAAACCCUGAUCCAGCGACGCCGCGUGUGUGAGAAGGCCUGCGGGUUGUAAAGCACUUUUAGUGGGGACAAAAGCUACGGAUUAAUACUCUGUGGUCUUGAUUUAACCCAAAGAAAAGCACCGGCUAACUCUGCGCCAGCAGCCGCGGUAA